CCUACGGGAGGCAGCAGUGGGGAAUUUUGGACAAUGGGCGCAAGCCUGAUCCAGCAAUGCCGCGUGAGUGAAGAAGGCCUUCGGGUUGUAAAGCUCUUUUGUCAGGGAAGAAACGGUGGUUCCUAAUACGGACUACUAAUGACGGUACCUGAAGAAUAAGCACCGGCUAACUACGUGCCAGCAGCCGCGGUAAUACGUAGGGUGCAAGCGUUAAUCGGAAUUACUGGGCGUAAAGCGUGCGCAGGCGGUUAUAUAAGUCAGAUGUGAAAUCCCCGGGCUCAACCUGGGAACUGCAUUUGAGACUGUAUGGCUAGAGUGUGUCAGAGGGGGGUAGAAUUCCACGUGUAGCAGUGAAAUGCGUAGAUAUGUGGAGGAAUACCGAUGGCGAAGGCAGCCCCCUGGGAUAACACUGACGCUCAUGCACGAAAGCGUGGGGAGCAAACAGGAUUAGAUACCCUGGUAGUCCACGCCCUAAACGAUGUCUACUAGUUGUCGGGACUUAAUUGUCUUGGUAACGCAGCUAACGCGUGAAGUAGACCGCCUGGGGAGUACGGUCGCAAGAUUAAAACUCAAAGGAAUUGACGG
rnacentral:rRNA from 1 species